rnacentral:rRNA from 1 species
UACGAGAGGCCCAAACGUUAUUCGGAAUUACUGGGCUUAAAGAGUUCGUAGGCGGCGCAGAAAGUAGGGUGUGAAAGCCCUCGGCUCAACCGAGGAAUUGCGCCCUAAACUACUGUGCUUGAGGACCUAGAGGUGAGCGGAACUGAUGGUGGAGCGGUGAAAUGCGUUGAUAUCAUCAGGAACACCGGAGGCGAAGGCGGCUCACUGGGGGUUUUCUGACGCUGAGGAACGAAAGCCAGGGGAGCGAACGGG